rnacentral:rRNA from 1 species
UACGAAGGGUGCUAGCGUUGCUCGGAAUCACUGGGCGUAAAGGGUGCGUAGGCGGGUCUUUAAGUCCGGGGUGAAAUCCUGGAGCUCAACUCCAGAACUGCCUUUGAUACUGAGGAUCUUGAGUUCGGGAGAGGUGAGUGGAACUGCGAGUGUAGAGGUGAAAUUCGUAGAUAUUCGCAAGAACACCAGUGGCGAAGGCGGCUCACUGGCCCGAUACUGACGCUGAGGCACGAAAGCGUGGGGAGCAAACAGG